rnacentral:lncRNA from 1 species
AUGAACUUAGAUCCGAUUAAUGGUUUACAAAAGCAUGUGUUCAGUAGUAAUAGCACUUGUAGUGAGACAGAGGGUUCCACUUUAAAUGAUGACAAAGGGAACCAAUCAUGAAAUCACACUUAGAGCUACCCUAAAGAUGUGAGAGCCCCUAGAACAAGAGAGCAUCUGGCCAGUCAAAACAAAUUUUCUUAUGCUUCUUCUAGCAGACAUCCUUCAUGAAUGAAUGACAACACCUUUCCAUUUGUCUAGCCGAAUCUUACAUAUGAAACAUUUGACUGCAUAGCAUUUUCAUUACCAAAAUAUGUUUGGCCACCAAUCUGAUUGAUAGGCAUCUUGAUUGAAAGCACGACUGGACCUUUUCUCCGGAAAAAUUCUACCUUAACUAUGGAAAGAAUCCUGCAAAUAUACACAACGGAAUCGUUUUUCAAGUUAUAAAAUGGGGACACGAUUUACCAAGUGAUAAACGAGGCACAAUAUAAUGUUGACAGUUUAUUCUCAGCCAAAACCAUAUUGACGAAAUAAUAAAUAAAUAUAUGUCAAUGAAGUUUGAGUUAUCUCAACUAUAUAUGUCGACGAGCACAUUUCCUGAGGUAAGUUAAAAGAAUAUGCAUGCAAACGACCAUAGGUCGGCAGAUGUAGAAUACUUG